rnacentral:rRNA from 1 species
GUCUAUGGCUGUGCCACCCUGAACAAGCCUGAUCCCAUCUGAUCUCAGAAGCUAAGCAGGAUCAGGCUUGGUUAGUACUUGGAUGGGAGACUAUCAAGGAAGACCAGGUGCUGUAGGCA